rnacentral:rRNA from 1 species
CAAUAGCGUAUAUUAAAGUUGUUGCAGUUAAAAAGCUCGUAGUUGGAUUUCUGGUUGAAGCGACCGGUCGGGCGUUGAUUCGUCUGCACUGGAGUCGGUUUUGGCCAUCCUCUAGGAAAGUGCGUCUGGUAUUAAGUUAUCGGGCGUAUGAUCCUGGUCUUUUACUGUGAAAAAAUUAGAGUGUUUAAAGCAGGCCUUCGCCUUGAAUACAUUAGCAUGGAAUAAUAAGAUAGGACUUUGGUCUAUUUUGUUGGUUUGCAGACCGAAGCAAUGAUUAAUAGGGAUAGUUGGGGGUAUUUAUAUUCCGAUGUCAGAGGUGAAAUUCUUAGAUUUUCGGAAGAUAAACUUAUGCGAAAGCAUUUACCAAGGAUGUUUNCAUUAA